GAGAUUCUAUCUCUGCGAUCUAGAAGCAGUGUAAAAUCCCAGUUACAUUUCGCUACAUUCAGGAGCCUAAAGCUAACGGAGAAAAUGAAGGCUGUAUUGAUGACUUUAGUGACGUUUUUAUUCUUCUUGUCUUUUAUAAUUUUCACACAAGGAGCCACUGUGUGCCCACCCCCACCCCCGUGUGCUGCUCCACCAAUGGGAUGCAACUACCAGCUGGACGCAGAUGGAUGUAUGAGGUGUCAUCUCGUCUGCUCACCCGGAUCGGUGCUGGGAGAGAUCCUUUAGCAGUAACCACCAUUCAGCAAACCUCCAUGGGACAGUAGACCUACAGCUAUAUUGAAUCUAAUGGACAGUAGACUACAGCUAUAUUGAAUCUACGUCUACACUACUCAUCAGGUUUUUAAAUUAAAUAAUAUUAAUAAGAUAGAACACUUUAAGUGUUUGAACUGAGAAUUGAAUUGAGCACAUGUACUUUACUCGAAAUUAAAAUGUGGUAAAACUAUAAAACAAUA